GUUUCUAUAGUGUAGUGGUUAUUCACAUUUGCCUCACACGUGAAAGGUCCCUGGUUCAAGACCGGGUGGAAACA